GGAGUCUGGGCCGUGUCUCAGUCCCAAUGUGGCCGUUCAUCCUCUCAGACCGGCUACCGAUCGUCGCCUUGGUAGGCCGUUACCCCACCAACCAGCUAAUCAGACGCAUCCCCAUCCCUUACCGAUGAAUCUUUGCUCCUCGUUAGAUGCCUGCAAAGGAGAACAUAGAGUAUUAAUCCGACUUUCGCCGGGCUAUCCUCUAGUAAGGGGAAGGUUGGAUACGCGUUACUCACCCGUGCGCCGGUCGCCAUCAAAGGAAGCAAGCUUCCUUCAUGCUGCCCCACGACUUGCAUGUGUUAAGCCUGUAGCUAGCGUUCAUC
rnacentral:rRNA from 1 species